rnacentral:rRNA from 1 species
AUUGAACGCUGGCGGCAGGCCUAACACAUGCAAGUCGAGCGGAUGAGAGGAGCUUGCUUCUCGAUUCAGCGGCGGACGGGUGAGUAAUGCCUAGGAAUCUGCCUGGUAGUGGGGGACAACGUUUCGAAAGGAACGCUAAUACCGCAUACGUCCUACGGGAGAAAGCAGGGGACCUUCGGGCAUUGCGCUAUCAGAUGAGCCUAGGUCGGAUUAGCUAGUUGGUGAGGUAAUGGCUCACCAAGGCGACGAUCCGUAACUGGUCUGAGAGGAUGAUCAGUCACACUGGAACUGAGACACGGUCCAGACUACUACGGGAGGCAGCAGUGGGGAAUAUUGGACAAUGGGCGAAAGCCUGAUCCAGCCAUGCCGCGUGUGUGAAGAAGGUCUUCGGAUUGUAAAGCACUUUAAGUUGGGAGGAAGGGUUGUAGAUUAAUACUCUGCAAUUUUGACGUUACCGACAGAAUAAGCACCGGCUAACUCUGUGCCAGCAGCCGCGGUAAUAC